rnacentral:rRNA from 1 species
GACGAACGCUGGCGGCGUGCUUAACACAUGCAAGUCGUGCGGUAAGGCCCUUUCUGGGGUACACGAGCGGCGAACGGGUGAGUAACACGUGAGCAACCUGCCCUUCACUUUGGGAUAACUGCCGGAAACGGUGGCUAAUACCGGAUAUGACUUCCUCACGCAUGUGGGGUGGUGGAAAGCCUUCGGGUGGUGGGGGAUGGGCUCGCGGUCUAUCAGCUUGUUGGUGGGGUGAUGGCCUACCAAGGCUUCGACGGGUAGCCGGCCUGAGAGGGUGACCGGCCACACUGGGACUGAGAGACGGCCCAGCCUCCUACGGGAGGCAGCAGUGGGGAAUAUUGGCCAAUGGGCGAAAGCCUGAUCCAGAAACGCCGCGUGAGGGAUGACGGCCUUCGGGUUGUAAACCUCUUUCGCCUGCGACGAAGCGAGAGUGACGGUAGCAGGUAAAGAAGCACCGGCCAACUACGUG